AUUGCAGCGUUACACCAUUUUAUUUGUCAACAUCAUGUAAAACAUGGAUUAUAUAACAGGCAUAUUGAAAGCAAUGGGCAGUAAUCAAUUUGUCAUACUGCUGACCUAUGAUUGAUGUUGGUUUGUGCAUUGUAGGUACAACAUUUUCAAUUUACCUUAAGCAAUUCAAUGAUCAGGUCGUGAAAUAUAAUAAGUGUGAAUAAACUAUCAAAAUGCAAAGCAACAGUUUAUAAAAUAAAAGUGUCAUUUUGAUUUUUGUACAAAAUAAAGUGAAAAAUAUUUUCCCCUAUCAUUUUGAAGAAAUACUGAACUAUAGGUAAUGAAUCGUUCACCUAUAUUUUACAGCUACUACUCUGCAAUCAUGAAAUGUCUUUGAUAAGAUAUAGGUGAACUUAAGCAAUAAAACAGCAGUGAAUAUUACAGCACAUAGUAAGGCUAAUCACAAUUUGUCUAAAACACCAUAAAUAAAGCACAUGCAGCAACAUUAGCUGCCCUAGUACACAUGAUAUGUUUAAGAUUACUUUAAUACUGUAAAUAAAAUAACCUAUCAAUGACACAUGUUGGAACUGUAUCAUCUUUUGUAACAGUUUAAAAAUAAAUUUUAAAAAAUAAUAUUUUUUCCCUUCAAAAUUUAUUUUAAAUGAUGUGAUGUUUCCAAUUAUUAAUCUUCAGUGGGUGUAAAUAGGAUUUUUAAAUCCCUCACAAUUUCAUAAUUACACUCACUGACAAUGAUCAAACUAAUUACCAGUGAGAAACCAAAGUAAUAACCCUUUAUAUCCCAGUUAAAAAGACAAUCUCUCAUAUAAUAUUUAAGUUAUUAAUUUAUCUCCAUUAGGUCUACUCUUCCCAACUAAAUCCAUCUCUGAUCACUACAAACUUUAGAAGUUCCAAAUAUUCUUAUUAUUUGCAGGUAGCCUGGAUUUCAUUCCAAGUUAAGAUUUUCAGAUUAAAAACCUGAAUGUUAAAAAGAUGUAUGUUUAAUUGAAAACAUGAAUUCUAAAAUGAAUGUGAAUUUAAUUGGAAACAUGAAUGUUAAAAUUAAAAGUUUUCUACAACAGACAAGAUUUGGUCAAAUUUGUAACUUGAAAACAUAAGCAGGGUCUUACAAGCGAAAAUGGUCAAAGAAGAAAAUACACAAUAAAGGAAUGUUUUGGUUGCAUGCUUAGUAUAAGACACCAAAAUUUGAUUUUAAAGUACUAUACAAAUUUUUGCCUGCUGA
rnacentral:lncRNA from 1 species